rnacentral:lncRNA from 1 species
GCAUUUUCCAACUUGUUUGCUUGUGUGAACUUGUAUUUCUGUGCUGUGGGUGAGGUCACACACUCUGGGCCGCUGAACCCCAUCUGUGGAAUGGGGGUAACAGUGGCCUUGGCUUCCCAGGGCACUGCCAGCAUCAGCCAGUGCUGGGGGGCAGGCGAGGGGCCUCCUGAGGCUCUGGGACCCCCAUGUGGGGUUACUGUGAAUCUCUUGAGGUCUCCCCUGCAGGUGGGUGGGGGCCAAGUGCAGUGGUGGCGCUUUGAGUGGGCCUUGGCAUCCCCUCUAGUACCCGCACGCCAUCAUCCACUGUGCCCAUCCCUGCCACUGUAACCUCCGCCUCCAAGAAAAGGCUCAGCUUCUGGCCCAGAUGUCAUGGGCGGCAGCCAUGUGCAGCGGCUGAUACGCUCUGCAUCAGUAACCAGAUCAGUGCUGGGGUCAAAUAACUUUCUGCCGGGCAACAGAAUCCCUGCCCGGGGCCGCCGCCGUUGUUGGUCCUGACCGUGGGAUGAGCGUUGAAAGACAACGCCUCUGGGUGGGCCUGGGAGGGCAGGGCGGGGGCUGAGGGGCUGUUGGGACUGGGUGUCCACAUCUAAGGGAGGCAGAGGGGGCAGGACCCCCCGAGGGCUGCUGCAGAGCUCCAGGCUUCUCCUUGGAAACAGCCUCUCCAGCCGGCCUGUGGUGCCGCCUCCUCCAGCAAAGACCUCACAGGCAGAGUUCUGCAUGGGGCGGCCACACCUGGAUUUGGGCUAUUUUGUCUCCAGAGUCUUAAAAGGCCACCAGAGAAGGUCUUGAGGGGGUGCCCUGCCAAGUGACAAUUCAGAAUAAAAAAAGAUGCAGUCUCAGACACAAAAAGUGUUUCCACUUCCCAAUGUUAGUUUUGAAGAGCCUGGGGCCUCCUCGCCUUGCCUGCAGGCUGGGCUGACCGAGGAGCUCCCAGAGGUGUUCAGGGUCUGAGGUCCACCCAGCCCCGCUCCAGGCCCUGUGCGUGGGCUCCUCCCAGGGCAGGCGUCUGGGGGCCCUCACAGCCAGGCGGGGCCUGAAAGCUGAUUCCUGUAGAGGGAUUUUCCCUCAGAGACAGAGGAGACAUUGUGCCUAGUGAGGCUGAGCAUGGCCCAGUGGGGGCAGGAGCCCACCUUCUCUGUUCCUGACCCUGAGACAAAGCGGCCUCCCCCUGCUGUCAGGCCACGCGGCGGCUGGUGGGGGGCUUGGGAGCCAGAACGCUCCAGAGAGACGACUGCCAGAGGCCUGAAAGCCACUGCCUGUGGUGGCCACUGCUUCGAGACCUCCUUCCUCCAGAUGGAGGCCCUGUUCCCCGCUCCUCUAAUCAGCCCUCAGGGAGGUGGUGCACUCAUGAAAAUGGGCAUAGGGCUGGGUGCGGGCGGUCAUCCUGAGGUGCCAAAGGGGAGGGGAUGGGUCACCUCUGCCAUCACCCUUGGUUGACCUCCAGGCCAGGUCGGAUUCCAGGGUCAGCUCCCACCAAGUCUGGCAUCCUCAAACACAAGCCCUUCCUAGGGCUGACCAUGGCCCCUGCAGCAAGCUGAAUCAUGCUCCUCCUAAAAUUCAUGCCCUCACAGAACCUAAAAGGUGAUCUUUUCUGGAAAAAGCAUCUUUGCAGAUGCAAAUUAAUUGACAUAAGGUCACAUGGAAUCAGGAUGGGCUCUGAACAAGGAAGUAGGGUGUCUUUAUAAGAAGACACACAGGGAAGUGCUCAUGUGAAGACAGAGGCGGGGAUGGAGGUGAUGUGUCUAGAAGCCAAGAAUGGCCAAGGAGGGCCAAGGAUGGUCGAGGAUGGCCAAGGAGGGCCAAGGAUGGUCGAGGAUGGCCAACGAGGGCCAAGGAUGGUCGAGGAUGGCCAACGAGGGCCAAGGAUGGUCGAGGAUGGCCAAGGGGGGCCAAGGAUGGUCGAGGAUGGCCAAGGGGGGCCAAGAGGGCCGAGGAUGGCCAAGGAGGGCCAAGGAUGGUCGAGGAUGGCCAAGGGGGGCCAAGGAUGGUCGAGGAUGGCCAAGGAGGACCAAGGAUCGUCGAGGAUGGCCAAGGAGGGCCAAGAGGGCCGAGGAGGGCCAAGGAGGGCCAAGAGGGCCAAGGAUGGCCAAGAAUGGUCAUGGCUCACUGAGAACCGCUAAGGAAGGCCAAGGAGGGCCAAGGAUCAUCAAAGAUGGCCAAAGAGGACCAAGGAUGGCCAAGGAUCGCCAAGGAUGGUAGAGGAUCACUGAGAAUCGCCAAGGAAGUCCAAGGAGGGCCAAGGAUGGCCAGCAACACCAGACCUGGAGAGGCUGGGGACAGAGUCUCCCUCAGAGCCUCAGAAGGAGCCAACCCUGACCUCCCCUGGAUCUCAGGCUUCGGGUCUGUAGAACUGUGAGAGCACACAGUGUGUGGUUUGAAGCCACCUAGUUUCUGGUACUUUGUUACAGCAGCUCCAGGAAAUAAACACAGUCCCUGAGAGCCGCCCAGGGCACCCCUGCUGGGACACCCAUCUGGCCGGUGGUCAGGGCUUCAGGUGGGACCAUCUAGUGGGACUUGUGUGUGCCUCUACUCUGGGGGCAUGGCCAGCCCUCAGCCUCUGCCACAAGGACUCGGUCCAUUCCCAGGAAGGGCAUCCCCUGCGUUCAUCUCCCAGAGAGAGCUGAUGCUCAGGCCUGAGCUGGCUCUCUGCAGCUGUGCGUACCCUGGGGCCGGCUAACACCUCCUGGGAGCCCGGCCACCUACCCCAGCUGAGCAGCUUACCCAAGUCACUCCUCCCUGGCAGGCUGCUCAUUAGAAGAGGGGCUGCAGCUCACAGGCAUGAGAGAUUUCCUUGGGGACACUCCCUGUGUCCCUCAGAAGGACCUGGGGGUUUGGGGGUCACCCCUCCAAAGGACGCAUUUUCAGUAAUUAAAGAGGCAGUGGGGCCUGGAAGAGGCUGAGCCAGCUCUGGGCUGGGGGAGAGGUGGUUGGCGGAGUUCAGAGGCCACAUGUAGGGGCCAGAAACUGUGCGCUACCAGGUGACCAGAGCUCUGCUCAGCCCCUCGCGUGCAUCCUCCCCCCAGGACAUCAGUAUUUUCUCCAGCACCACCAGGGGCGUCCGCUGGCCUGGACCCUCAGGGACUCUGGCCCAGGGCAGGGUUCUGUGUCACAUCAGCACAAGGGAGGGUCAGAUGUGCUGCCCACGACCCGCCGAGUCCCACAGCUGAUCUGCUCACUCGCCGAGUUUGAGAACCAAGGCUGGGCAGGUAGGGGGGUGAUGACGGAAUCAAGGGGGGGUGACGACGGAAUCAGGGGGGACAUCUGUGCUUUAGAUCCUGACCCCAUGGAGUCGGAGCCUGCCUGUGCCCGCAGGAUCAUGCCAGGGCCUCAGUGCUUGGGUGGGGGCCAUGCAUCCAGUUCAGAGGCCAGCAUCCAGGGAGGGUGCCAGGUCGCUCGGCUGUUCGGAUGUUGUCACAGGGGAACCUGCUGGCUUCCGUCCCUGUGAAUGAGGCUUCAUGUCAGGUACAGUCUUUUGGCCAGGAAUGAGGGCAUGAGCGAGUGAGCUGCCAGGUCUGUGUCCGAGGACCCUGAGCCCAGCCAGGAGCAUCGCGGGGAGUGUGGAGAGAUUGUCUGGGAGUGGCUAUAGGGUUUAGGAAGUCUUUUGAGGGCCUGUCAAGAUGGCCAGGACUGGCAGGCGGGGCAGGGUGGCAAAGGUGGCCUCAGAGAGGAGGAGAGUGAGCCCGGCAGGCUGGGGGCGACCCUGCAGGCGGAGCCCCCUCCUUGGGGCUCCUAGUGCCCCAGGCCCCACUGUGGGAGUCCUGCUCCGCACCCACUUUGUAGAGUGGCUGGGGAGAGACGGAGGGAGAGACGGAGACCCCUGGAGGCCCCAUGCUCCCUCUUGGCGGCAUCAAGGCUACACCAGGACUCUCUCCUCUGGCUGGCAGGAGUGUCCAGGAGGGGCUGGCCCUGCUGCUGGUAGAUCCUCCUCCCAACCCAGACGGAGGGAGGGUGGCAGCCCCCACCCCUGCAAGCUCUUUCUUUCCUUUUCCCAAAGUUGAAGCUUCUCCUGGUGCCUCAGCAGCAACCCCUUCACCAGCCCCGUCCGCUGCCCGCAAUGUUGGUGGAGUAAGGAGAUGAGGCCCGUGCAGAGCCGGGGGAGCCCCUGGGGGGUCUCUAAGCUGAACAGGCCUCUUUGACAUCAUUACAUAAGCCGUCACAUUGUCACAGGCCACGGCCAGGAGUUGUAAAUACUCGGGGAAAAGCCCUCUUUGUUAUGAGGUUCUGGGAUGUGAGACCUUGCAGCUUUUACUGCUCAGGAUUAAAGGAAGCCAGGCCUGCGGGGAAGUGCGGCCGCUCCCAGCACCGGCCCUCGCCUUUGUCGGUGCUUUUUAUGACUGCACACGUGGGUUUCCAGGCGGGAGCUGGGGGUUCCCUGGCCUGGGACCCAGCAGGCACUGGCGGCAGCUGGCGGGGCCCCUGAUCCUCACGGACUUCCUCCUCCCUCCGCUGUCUCCCCGGCCUCCCUGGGCUUUCCAGGAGAGCCGUCCACGCCUGCUGUGGGAGGAAGACGCUUUCCUGAGGCAGGGGCCAGGCAGCUUCUGUUGGCGCCUGGAACAGCUUCCGCUCAUCGCUUCUGGCGGCACACACUGCGGAGGUGAGACUGCAAAUGCCGCCCGCCCCACGUGGUGCAGGCUGAGUGCUCUGGUGUUUGUCCAAGCUGUUCCAAGCCCAGGAGGUCGGACUCUCACCGUCGUCUUGGUGAUGGCAACGCUGUGUCCUGCCCCACCUCGUGGCUGCCCCCACCUGUACCGGUGAGACCUGAGGGUACGGGUGGGGUGGAUCCUGCCAUUCCCAAGGGCUAAGUCCUGAGACCCUUUUGAAACCCCGUUUGAAAAGGUGACAAUAGCGUAUGGCUUCCCGCACCAAGUGCACACAGUACACUAGCGACAGGCACAAAGGCAACAUGAAACGGGCUGCUCUGUGCUCGGGUGUCGCAGAAGCACGGGCCAGAGAGCCGGUGGCUGCCCAGGACCAAAGGGACCCACAUCGACCUGCUGGGCACUGGGGCCUAGAGAGUGACCAGAGCGUGAUUAGAAGAGGCCGGAUCACAGGGAGCCCCAGUCCACUGAACCACAUCCAGAAGGUAGAAAGGUUGUUUCUCUCCCCUGGAUGCCUGUGGGGGUGGGGACGGCAGAGCCUCGGACACUGCCCGGGGAUCACUCUCAGGCUACUUUUCCCACCCUGCCAAGCUGCUCGAGACGUCAAAGGAGACCAGGCCGGUCAGCACACAGGCUUCUGGUAAGUGCCGCCCUCCGGUCUGGGAGCUCAGCUCUCCCCUUCUGACUCACCGCUCGGCGCUGACUCAUCGUGACGGCGAGUGGGGCUCCAGCUCCGCGGCAUUUCAUAGACAGCGCGGUCACAUUCCUUUCCAACAGUCGCUCUGGCCUCGAUGUCUAAGGCUCCGUGGGCAGCCGGCCUGUGGAUGAGGCGGCGGAAACCACAUCCUCUUCAUCAUCCUCUCACGAGGAAGGACACUGACAGCUUCGGAGAAGGCUGCCCAGUGUCUGCGGGUGCCCUUGGGAGAUGGCCUUGGGACACGGUGCCUGUGCCUGUGUGUGUACACCACGUGUGAACGCCAACUGGGAACACGGCCCCUUCGUAGGCAAACCCAGGCCUCCUGGAAGUCACAAGUUGAUAGCUGUACUCGCCCCUUUUGGAAGACGCACGCCCAAGGCACCCGUGUGUGCACACGUAUCCGUGUGUGGACCUCUGUCCACACGUGUGUGUUUUGAAAAGCCUUUCUCACCACAUGUUAGGAUCACAAGUGUUCAAAAUCUAGGCACACUUUUCAGAAGUUAUUUCUGGAAAAAAUGUUGAAUCUCAUAACAGCAAUAAAAGGAAAAUACCGCCUCAGCCAACAUAAAUGUCUCCUUGGAACAUGCCUGAAAAGCGGCGGAGUAUUUGUGUAAGUUUCAAUUCCAGCGUCAGAGCCUGCAGCUUGGCCGAGGCCGGGUUCUGCACAGGAGGGUGCACGGUCCCUUUCCGAAAGCCCCUCACCGGACUUCUGGGAACUCCCAACCCAUCCCGGGAACCCCACCUGCCGGCCCCGGAUCCGGAUGGGCUCCUGAUGUAUCCCACAGAGGGGAUGCCAACGUCAGACACCAGCAGGCUGGGGAGGAGCGGCUGUGAGGUGCAGCCGGCGGGUGGGCGGCCAGCCUCCAGGACAGACCUCGGAGGAGGCUGGGGGCUGCCUGCUGCCCUCGGGGCCCUGUGGUCCCACCACACCCGUGCCUGUCCCAGUGAUCCUCAUGUCACCGGCCCAGUGAGAGGCUGCUGCUACCAACCCCGCCAGCCUGCAGGCCGCUGAGUGCUGGGCUGCUCCUCCUCAGAGGAUGAGCGUGGGAAUAACCCAGUGGGGCGAGGAUGCUGACGGCGCCAUGGAUGUCCACUGAGGGCCCGAGAUGGGCCAGGCCGAGCUCUGUGCUUUGGAGUCAGAUCUCAUUUAAACCCAGCAGCACAUCCCAUUUCACACGUGGGAAGGUGGGGGAGUCAGGAUCAGAGAGCAGGGUGUCGCAUGGGGGAGCAGCCGGGCUGCGAUGUGAACCCUACAGUCUGCCCAUGAGCCGCACUCCUGGGCUGGACACUCCAGAGCCUUCUCAAGCAGCUUUCUUGGGGCUCCCUGAGCACCUGGCUGGAUGCUGCUGGUCUGGAACUCUGGACGGGGGCCCCGGGAGCUGACCUGCAAAGCUGUAGAGCGACUGUGAGGCACUGGCAGCUUUGCAGCCCCUCUGGACCCAGGGUGGGGUGGGCUGAGCAUCUGGCCUUCUGGGUCUAUCUGGGAGGCAGGGCUGUCUCAGAUCUGGGGCCUUCUGAGAAAGAUGUCGAACCCAAGCUUCCUUGGGGAAGGAGGCAGAUGGACCCCAGAUCACUCUCCUGGGUGUGAAAUCAGCUUUGGGGGUGCCUUCGGGGUCGGGCAGAACUGGGCUCACCCAGCUCUCGCCUUUUCUGGCUGUGUCACUUGGGUGAGCUCCUGAGCCUCUCUGUGCCUCGGUUUCCCUGUUGAUUAGGUCAGGCCAAGGAUUAAAUGAUGGCAAAGUCGUACCACGCUGGCUGGUUUUGGGCCUGUGGGGAUUCUUCAUCAUUUCUUCUCUUUCUCCUACUGCAGCUCCAGGCUACCCUGAGAUUUGCCUGCUGGGUCUGGGCUUCAUGGCGGGGCCAGAUUGGUGCCUCGGAGCAGAGGGCACAGGACAGAGCGGGCACCAAUGCACGGGCAGGUUUCCAGGCACUUUGGGAAGAAAUAAGAUCCCACCCAAGAACCUCUCCCCAACUCUGGCCUUGGCUCGUCCUGGUUGUUUCCAAAAGUGAAAGAAGGCAAAAGAGUGAGCCGAGGCCCACCGGGAACAACAACAAAGACCCGGCCUCGGAGUGGCGGCAGCGCCGCGGCCACUGCAGGAGAGCUCUGGUUUCUAUUAGUGGGAAGCGACGGCUCCGUCUCAGGACAGAGCUUGGGCCAUCAGCCCUCGGCGGGUUAACCCUUCCCCACCUCACUGCUCUCACAGGCAACAGGCACCCCUGAAGCUGGGAAGUCCUGGGGCCGGGUUCAGCUGAGGACUCCCUGCAUCCUGCCACCACCACCAACCAUGCUGGCGCUCACACACACACACACAUACGCACGCACACACGCACACACAUGCCUACACACACCCACACGUCUCACAGACACACACGCACACUCACAUGCAUGCACACGUGCCCACACAUGCCCACAUGUCUCACACACACGCAUGCCCACACAUGCACACACACUUAUAUGUGCACACAUAUGCACAAUCCACACCAGCACACACAUGCACAUACACAUACACACACACAGACAUGCAUGCACAUACACACCCAUACAUGCAAACACAUAUUCCUACACAGGGACACUCCACGCCAGGGCCAUGUCAUCUGAGGCCAAAUGAAGAGUUGGCAGAGGAGGAAGGCCUGGAGAGGUAGCGUGGAGGCCAGAGGAGGCCCUGGUUGAGACGUGCUUGCUGGUUUGGCAGGUGGAGGGACUUGGGGACCAAGUAACCCGGCUCGGUCAAACAUUCUCUCCCCAGGCACGGAUGCUGUGUCCCUGGGGAGCCCAACCUCCCCAAGUGGAGCUUGGCUGAGACCCCUCAGCAGCUCCGAGGGCCCCUGUGGGUUGUGAUGCCAGAAACAGGGCCAGAGCUCAGAGGAGGCACAGGGACUACGGUUUCCGUUGAAAGACGGCUCAGGGUCACCGGGCUCAGCAGAGGGAGGGCGCUUCAGGGGCGGUGACCGGGUCGCUUUAGGAAGAUGGGUGGGGGGCACUCGACUCCCAAGGCUGAGGGAGGGGAAAGGUGUGUGCACACUGCAGGCAUCCGGCCUUUGGGCCCCAGAGUGUGCCGGGCAGGUGUCAUCUCCAUUAACAGCUGCAGCCGCUGUGGAGGUGGCUGCCACCAUGAUACCCAUCGUACAGGUGAGGAGGUGGAGGUAGGAAGGGCGUGGCCUGUCUCAACCUGACAGGGAUGUGUGUAUGUGGCCACAUGUUGACUUUUUGUUUUAAAAUUUGGAUUCUACUGGGGAAAAAGAUUACAAUAAAGUGUCUGUGCUGCACCCAGGAAGGCAUGCCCACUGGGUAAGGCUCGGCACCAAGCGGCCUCUCACUGUGGGUCAGGCUCGCAUGGGGCGGGUGUGCCUGGCCCCUGUGUGAACCUGGAGCUGGCCAUGGGGAGAGGCUGCUCUGGGGCUUUUCAGAGAAUCCGUGGUUGAUUCCCUCAAGGACUCCCUCAAGGGGGCCACGCUCCUCCUCCCUGGGUCCCCUCCCUGGCCCCCACCCUUCCCUUUCUCAGGUCCUCCCUCUGACAGUGGCUGUAGCCCUCUGCUCCUAGCCCAGGGCAGCCCUGGCCUCUGGAGUCACAGUCAUGUGUUCAAGUCUCGGCCCCUUUCCCAAGGUGAGCUGGUCCUGCAGGGAUGCGGGAAGUGUCAGAAUAUGAAAACAACCAGGACAAGGACAGCUCAGCUUACCCCGCUCCAGCACCUUCUCCAGGUCAAGCACUUGGCCAGCCCUGUAGCAGCCUCCUCAUUCCAUCUCUCUGGUGUUUUACAGAUGAGAAAUGAGCACAGAGAGGUUAGGAGCAUUGUCCAGUGCCACAGAGCUGGCAUGUGCUUGUCUGGGCUGAGAACUCUAUGAAGCCUUGGAAAUGCUCCCCACAUAUGGAGCAGUGUGUUCAGGCCCCAUGGCCUGACCGGGAGCAGGAGGGAAGGACAGGCUCAGGUCUCGCAUCCCGGGAAGAAUUUCUCCUCAGUGCACCAGGGAAUAUCGCCUGACGACGGAAUCAGGUUUCUUUCCCCAUGACCCCUCCACCAUUAGUGUUCCCAGAAAGCCAGGGGCUGCUGUGCCCAGAGGAGGUGCACCCUGGGAGCCCUGCCUGCAGGACGGGAAGCAGAGCCCCCUCAGAACAGAAACUAGGAACAGAGGAGGGACAAGGGAGGGAGGGCAGAAGGUCCGGUGCCCUCAGUUUCUAUCCAUCCUUGGGUCGGAAACCUGGGAUGGAAUGAGUGAGGAGCUGGGUCCACAGGGACAGGAACUGGGGGAUACCAGGGGCUAGGGCUGCUCAUCCUUUCCCAAGGAGGAGCCAGGGAAAAAUUAAGCUCAUAGGGAAUGUCGGGUUCACCGGGCCUGGCGGACUCCAGAUCCCAGAGGCAGGGCACCCACACAUCUCUCACCGGCACGCACCAGGGCCCCGAUAGCCGGGCACCAUCAUGGCGAAUUACAUUACAUUGCAUUACCCGGGGACCACUAUCAUGACCACGUUGGGAGAGGAAACUGAGGCACUAAGCUGCCAAAGUCACGCAGCCCACAACACUGGAAGGCAAAGCAGCCGUCUGGACCCCAGAACUGGAGCUGUCCCCUCACUGGGCGAAACCCAGAACCCAGUGUUUGCUUCUUUCUCAGAGUAGCAAGAAGACAUGGCAGAGCUGCCCUCAGGCUGGAGGCUUGCAAGCCGGAGGCGCACCACUGUCUAAGCAAACCAGGCACGAGGAAACGCAUUCGCAAGCCUGAGAAGAUGAGUGGCCAUCACUGGCAUCACCGAAAUGGCCUCCUCAACCGGACGGGAAGAAUCCCUCCCCCAGCUGACUCCCCGAGAUGCUCCAUGCCCCACGUUCCUGACCUCCUAGGGGAAGGAGCAGGAGGAACCCAAGGCCAUCAGAGGGGCCUGGACUGUGGGUGCUGCCAAGUCUGUAGGUGACCCGGUGACCAUCCCGGUUUGCAGGGGACCAAGAUUCUUUCUGGGAUGUGGUGCUUUCAGUGGCAACAAGAAGAGCCCCCUCGGCAGCCCUGGCAAUCCAGGACAGUGGGUCGCCCCCGCACGGCCUGACGCUGUGGCGUGGAGUCUCCAGCGGGGCAGCACUGGGUUGGAGGAGGGAGGAUGCUGCCAGCAUCACGGGGAGGUCACAUGCCAGACACUGGUGUCUGAUUUCCCCUUGAGAGAGGUUUCAUCACUGCCCCGUCCUUGGAAAGGGUCACCCAGUCAGACUACAGAGCCAGGACCAUGAUCCAAAGCUGAGCAGUGCCCACCAAAGACAGUGUUCCCAGUGCUCAGGAGCCCUUGGGCCUUUAUAAGGUGUCUACCGUGGGACUAAAAAAACACCUGUCCCCAGGUGACAGCAUGCUGCCUUUGAAACACAGCUCUGUGAGAACACACCUGGCAAAGGCAGUCUUGGGGGCCACGCGGCAGGGACCCCUUUCCUUUACCAACUCUCACAGGCUGAGCCGCUCUUGCUGUGAAUGUACGUGGCCUUGGUAUGUUCUCCAGCAAGAUUAUAAGUGGAGGAUGGAGUCAGCUGGGAAGCGAGGCUCAGAUCAAGGAGGGCUACUACCAGGAUCCCUGCAGAAACAGGGACACAGGGAGAGAUGGCUGUAAAAUCCUUGAGCUUUAAGGGGUAAGCUCAUGGAGCCCUGAAAAAUAUGACUGCAUUGCAAAUGCCAACUUGUAGACACAAAUAUCGUGGAAGCAGGCCACGUUCAGCCUUGCACACUGUGCGCUCUUCCAUGACUGAGAACGUUAGUCACCUGCACCCUGACCAACCUCUCAUCCCUGAAGCCUGCUGGGAGGUGUCUGGGGACAGGAACGAAAAUUUACAAUGUUCUUUGGUUGUUUAAUUUUGAAUUUUCUCCCUCAUUAUUAUUGAAACUGAAACAUCUAAGAGGACACCCAGAUUUAUCUGAAACCGGAAGAUGACACGUAUGAAGGAUCAAGCAUUCAUCACAAACACAGGCAGGCGAAGGAGACCAAAACACAGCUAGGACCAUGCCAAGCGUCGGUGAUGAUGUGGAGAAAUGGGGACCUGCCAGACACUGCUGGUGGGGAGGUGACAUGGUGCAGCCACUAUGGAAAAUAGUCCAGCAGUUCCUCGAAAUGGAAAGCAGGAGUCCCAUGACCCAGCAGUUCCAUUUUCAAGGAAGUCCCCAAGAGAAAUAGAAACUUACGUCUUCACAAAAGCUUGAAAAUACACAUUCAUAGCAGCAUGAUUCAUAACAUCAAAAAGCAGAAACAGCCCAAAUGCCCAUCAGUGGAUGGAUGGAUAAGCACAAUGUGGCCCCUCCAUACGACACAAUAUUACUCAGCCAUAAGAACGAGUGAGGUAGCGGCACAGGCCACAAAGUGGGCGAACCUGGGAACCACGGGACUGAGUGGAAGGAGCCAGUCACAAAAGGUCAUGGGCUGUCUGAAUCCAUUCAUUUGAAUUUCCAGACUAGGCAAAUCCACAGAGACAGAAAGUGGGUUGGUGGUUGCAGUGGCUGGGGGCAGGGGGACAUGGGGAGAGUGCGGAGUGAGUACUAAUAGGUGUGUGGUUUCUUUUUUCAGUGAUAAAAAUGUACUAAAAUUUAUUGUGAUGGUUGCACAAGUCUGUGGCUGAAAACCACUGAAUUGUACGUUUUAAUGGGGUGCAUUGUUUGCGUGUGAAUCACAUCUCAAUAAAGCUGUUUUUAAAAUGCAAUUAUUGCACAAUGCAAA